GAAAAUAUUAUGUACAUUGACAAACUAAUUAUAUGAAUACAAUACCUGUUUUUACCAUGUCAAGAGUAUUUCUAAAAUUGCAAUUACAUUCUGAGUGUACAAAACAUUAAGAACACCUUCCUAAUAUUGAGGCCCCCUUUAGCCAUCAGAACAGGCUCAAUUCAUCAGGACGUGGACUCUACAAGGUGUUGAAAGGGUUCCACAGGGAUACUGGCCCAUGUUGACUCUACAAGGUGUUGAAAGGGUUCCACAGGGAUACUGGCCCAUGUGGACUCUACAAGGUGUUGAAAGCAGGGAUACUGGCCCAUGUUGACUCUACAAGGUGUUGAAAGGGUUCCACAGGGAUGCUGGUCCAUGUUGACUCUACAAGGUGUUGAAAGGGUUCCACAGGGAUGCUGGUCCAUGUUGACUCUACAAGGUGUUGAAAGGGUUCCACAGGGAUGCUGGUCCAUGUUGACUACAAGGUGUUGAAAGGGUUCCACAGGGAUGCUGGUCCAUGUUGACUCUACAAGGUGUUGAAAGGGUUCCACAGGAAUGCUGGUCCAUGUUGACUCUACGAGGUGUUGAAAGGGUUCCACAGGGAUACUGGCCCAUGUUGACUCUACAAGGUGUUGAAAGGGUUCCGCAGGGAUGCUGGUCCAUGUUGACUCUACAAGGUGUUGAAAGCAGGGAUACUGGCCCAUGUGGACUCUACAAGGUGUUGAAAGCAGGGAUACUGGUCCAUGUGGACUCUACAAGGUGUUGAAAGCAGGGAUACUGGCCCAUGUUGACUCUACAAGGUGUUGAAAGUGUUCCACAGGGAUGCUGGUCCAUGUUGACUCUACAAGGUGUUGAAAGCGUUCCACAGGGAUACUGGUCCAUGUGGACUCUACAAGGUGUUGAAAGCAGGGAUACUGGUCCAUGUUGACUCUACAAGGUGUUGAAAGCAGGGAUACUGGUCCAUGUGGACUCUACAAGGUGUUGAAAGCAGGGAUACUGGUCCAUGUUGACUCUACAAGGUGUUGAAAGCAGGGAUACUGGUCCAUGUGGACUCUACAAGGUGUUGAAAGCAGGGAUACUGGUCCAUGUUGACUCUACAAGGUGUUGAAAGCAGGGAUACUGGCCCAUGUUGACUCUACAAGGUGUUGAAAGCAGGGAUGCUGGCCCACUUUGACUCUACAAGGUGUUGAAAGCAGGGAUGCUGGCCCAUGUUGACUCUACAAGGUGUUGAAAGGGUUCCACAGGGAUGCUGGUCCAUGUUGACUCUACAAGGUGUUGAAAGGGUUCCACAGGGAUGCUGGUCCAUGUUGACUCUACAAGGUGUUGAAAGGGUUCCACAGGAAUGCUGGUCCAUGUUGACUCUACAAGGUGUUGAAAGGGUUCCACAGGGAUACUGGCCCAUGUUGACUCUACAAGGUGUUGAAAGGGUUCCACAGGGAUGCUGGUCCAUGUUGACUCUACAAGGUGUUGAAAGCAGGGAUACUGGUCCAUGUUGACUCUACAAG
ensembl:lncRNA